CAGCAGCCGCGGUAAUACGAAGGGUGCAAGCGUUACUCGGAAUUACUGGGCGUAAAGCGUGCGUAGGUGGUGGUUUAAGUCCGUUGUAAAAGCCCUGGGCUCAACCUGGGAAUUGCAGUGGAUACUGGAUCACUAGAGUGUGGUAGAGGAUAGUGGAAUUUCCGGUGUAGCAGUGAAAUGCGUAGAGAUCGGAAGGAACAUCUGUGGCGAAGGCGACUAUCUGGGCCAACACUGACACUGAGGCACGAAAGCGUGGGGAGCAAACAGGAUUAGAGACCCCUGUAGUCCCUGUCUCUUAUAC
rnacentral:rRNA from 1 species